UACGAAGGGGGCUAGCGUUGCUCGGAAUCACUGGGCGUAAAGCGUGCGUAGACGGUAGCGUAAGUCAGAUGUGAAAGCCCCGGGCUCAACCUGGGAAUUGCAUUUGAGACUGCUCUGCUCGGGUGCGGAAGAGGGAAGCGGAAUUUCCGGUGUAGCGGUGAAAUGCGUAGAUAUCGGAAGGAACACCAGUGGCGAAAGCGGCUUCCUGGUCCGACACCGACGUUCAGGCACGAAAGCGUGGGGAGCAAACAGG
rnacentral:rRNA from 1 species